GUGCCAGCAGCCGCGGUAAUACGUAGGGCGCAAGACGUUGUCCGGAAUUAUUGGGCGUAAAGAGCUCGUAGGCGGCUUGUCACGUCGGAUGUGAAAGCCCGGGGCUUAACCCCGGGUCUGCAUUCGAUACGGGCUAGCUAGAGUGUGGUAGGGGAGAUCGGAAUUCCUGGUGUAGCGGUGAAAUGCGCAGAUAUCAGGAGGAACACCGGUGGCGAAGGCGGAUCUCUGGGCCAUUACUGACGCUGAGGAGCGAAAGCGUGGGGAGCGAACAGGAUUAGAUACCCUGGUAGUCC
rnacentral:rRNA from 1 species